GGCGGUGUGGCCAAGUGGCACGGCACCUGUUUCCGGCGCAGGAGAUCGAGGGUUCGAUCCCCUUCACCGUCG
rnacentral:tRNA from 2 species